rnacentral:rRNA from 1 species
UGCAGUCGACGAUGAAGCCCUUCGGGGUGGAUUAGUGGCGAACGGGUGAGUAACACGUGGGCAAUCUGCCCUUCACUCUGGGACAAGCCCUGGAAACGGGGUCUAAUACCGGAUAACACCGGCUUCCGCAUGGGAGCUGGUUGAAAGCUCCGGCGGUGAAGGAUGAGCCCGCGGCCUAUCAGCUUGUUGGUGGGGUAAUGGCCUACCAAGGCGACGACGGGUAGCCGGCCUGAGAGGGCGACCGGCCACACUGGGACUGAGACACGGCCCAGACUCCUACGGGAGGCAGCAGUGGGGAAUAUUGCACAAUGGGCGAAAGCCUGAUGCAGCGACGCCGCGUGAGGGAUGACGGCCUUCGGGUUGUAAACCUCUUUCAGCAGGGAAGAAGCGAAAGUGACGGUACCUGCAGAAGAAGCGCCGGCUAACUACGUGCCAGCAGCCGCGGUAAUACGUAGGGCGCAAGCGUUGUCCGGAAUUAUUGGGCGUAAAGAGCUCGUAGGCGGCUUGUCACGUCGGGUGUGAAAGCCCGGGGCUUAACCCCGGGUCUGCAUCCGAUACGGGCAGGCUAGAGUGUGGUAGGGGAGAUCGGAAUUCCUGGUGUAGCGGUGAAAUGCGCAGAUAUCAGGAGGAACACCGGUGGCGAAGGCGGAUCUCUGGGCCAUUACUGACGCUGAGGAGCGAAAGCGUGGGGAGCGAACAGGAUUAGAUACCCUGGUAGUCCACGCCGUAAACGUUGGGAACUAGGUGUUGGCGACAUUCCACGUCGUCCGGUGCCGCAGCUAACGCAUUAAGUUCCCCGCCUGGGGGAGUACGGGCCGCAAAGGCUAAAAACUCAAAAGGAAUUUGACGGGGGGCCCGCACAAAGCAGCGGGAGC